rnacentral:rRNA from 1 species
AUGGCUUUCUGGCAGGCGCGCGACUUCCUGUUCUGCGGCGUGUGCGGCACCCUCCUCGACUUCAACUCCCACCGCUACGCCUCCUGCCCCCUCUGCGGCUUCAAGCGCAAGGCCAAAGAUAUCGAAGGGAAAGAAACUCGGUACGCGGUCACCGCAGAGGAUAUUAGAAGAGAGCUAAAGAUAAAAGCGUUUGUGGUUCUUGAAUCGGCGCCAAAUUUGGACAUAGUUGUGCAAAGAUCCCUGACAGAGCGAGCCUGUCCGGAAUGCAACCAUCCUGAACUCGAAUUUUACACGAAGCAGCUUCGGUCAGCGGAUGAGGGGCAGACUAUCUUCUACGAGUGCCCGGAGUGCGGCCACGCAUUCAAUGAGAACACGUAA